rnacentral:rRNA from 1 species
UUGAAGAGUUUGAUCAUGGCUCAGAUUGAACGCUGGCGGCAGGCCUAACACAUGCAAGUCGAACGGUAACAGGAAGCAGCUUGCUGCUUUGCUGACGAGUGGCGGACGGGUGAGUAAUGUCUGGGAAACUGCCUGAUGGAGGGGGAUAACUACUGGAAACGGUAGCUAAUACCGCAUAACGUCGCAAGACCAAAGAGGGGGACCUUCGGGCCUCUUGCCAUCGGAUGUGCCCAGAUGGGAUUAGCUAGUAGGUGGGGUAACGGCUCACCUAGGCGACGAUCCCUAGCUGGUCUGAGAGGAUGACCAGCCACACUGGAACUGAGACACGGUCCAGACUCCUACGGGAGGCAGCAGUGGGGAAUAUUGCACAAUGGGCGCAAGCCUGAUGCAGCCAUGCCGCGUGUAUGAAGAAGGCCUUCGGGUUGUAAAGUACUUUCAGCGGGGAGGAAGGGAGUAAAGUUAAUACCUUUGCUCAUUGACGUUACCCGCAGAAGAAGCACCGGCUAACUCCGUGCCAGCAGCCGCGUAAUACGGAGGGUGCAAGCGUUAAUCGGAAUUACUGGGCGUAAAGCGCACGCAGGCGGUUUGUUAAGUCAGAUGUGAAAUCCCGGGCUCAACCUGGGAACUGCAUCUGAUACUGGCAAGCUUGAGUCUCGUAGAGGGGGGUAGAAUUCCAGGUGUAGCGGUGAAAUGCGUAGAGAUCUGGAGGAAUACCGGUGGCGAAGGCGGCCCCCUGGACGAAGACUGACGCUCAGGUGCGAAAGCGUGGGGAGCAAACAGGAUUAGAUACCCUGGUAGUCCACGCCGUAAACGAUGUCGACUUGGAGGUUGUGCCCUUGAGGCGUGGCUUCCGGAGCUAACGUGUUAAGUCGACCGCCUGGGGAGUACGGCCGCAAGGUUAAAACUCAAAUGAAUUGACGGGGGCCCGCACAAGCGGUGGAGCAUGUGGUUUAAUUCGAUGCAACGCGAAGAACCUUACCUGGUCUUGACAUCCACGGAAGUUUUCAGAGAUGAGAAUGUGCCUUCGGGAACCGUGAGACAGGUGCUGCAUGGCUGUCGUCAGCUCGUGUUGUGAAAUGUUGGGUUAAGUCCCGCAACGAGCGCAACCCUUAUCCUUUGUUGCCAGCGGUCCGGCCGGGAACUCAAAGGAGACUGCCAGUGAUAAACUGGAGGAAGGUGGGGAUGACGUCAAGUCAUCAUGGCCCUUACGACCAGGGCUACACACGUGCUACAAUGGCGCAUACAAAGAGAAGCGACCUCGCGAGAGCAAGCGGACCUCAUAAAGUGCGUCGUAGUCCGGAUUGGAGUCUGCAACUCGACUCCAUGAAGUCGGAAUCGCUAGUAAUCGUGGAUCAGAAUGCCACGGUGAAUACGUUCCCGGGCCUUGUACACACCGCCCGUCACACCAUGGGAGUGGGUUGCAAAAGAAGUAGGUAGCUUAACCUUCGGGAGGGCGCUUACCACUUUGUGAUUCAUGACUGGGGUGAAGUCGUAACAAGGUAACCGUAGGGGAACCUGCGGUUGGAUCACCUCCUU